CCUACGGGAGGCUGCAGUGGGGAAUUUUCCGCAAUGGGCGAAAGCCUGACGGAGCAACGCCGCGUGAGGGAUGAAGGCCUCUGGGCUGUAAACCUCUUUUCUCAAGGAAGAAGAACUGACGGUACUUGAGGAAUAAGCCACGGCUAAUUCCGUGCCAGCAGCCGCGGUAAUACGGGAGUGGCAAGCGUUAUCCGGAAUUAUUGGGCGUAAAGCGUCCGCAGGCGGCCUUGAAAGUCUGUCGUCAAAGCGUGGAGCUUAACUCCAUUUCGGCGAUGGAAACUACAAGGCUUGAGUGUGGUAGGGGCAGAGGGAAUUCCCGGUGUAGCGGUGAAAUGCGUAGAUAUCGGGAAGAACACCAGUGGCGAAGGCGCUCUGCUGGGCCAUAACUGACGCUCAUGGACGAAAGCCAGGGGAGCGAAAGGGAUUAGAUACCCUGGUAGUC
rnacentral:rRNA from 1 species